AAUUUUGGACAAUGGGCGCAAGCCUGAUCCAGCCAUGCCGCGUGAGUGAAGAAGGCCUNCGGGAUNUNAAGCUCUUUCGGACGGANAGAAAUCGCGCAGGCUGAUACCCCGCGCGGAUGACGGUACCGUCAUAAGAAGCACCGGCUAACUACGUUGCAGCAGCCGCGGUAAUACGUAGGGCGCGAGCGUUAAUUGGAAUUACUGGGCGUAAAGCGUGCGCAGGCGGUUGAUUAAGACAGACGUGAAAUCCCCGGGGUUAACCUGGGAACUGAGCUUGUGGCUGGUCAGCUAGAGUACGGCAGAGGGGGGUGGAAUUCCACGUGUAGCAGUGAAAUGCGUAGAGAUGUGGAGGAACACCGAUGGCGAAGGCAGCCCCCUGGGCCGAUACUGACGCUCAUGCACGAAAGCGUGGGUAGCAAACAGG
rnacentral:rRNA from 1 species